UGGUUUUCGGGCUACAAAACUGGGCGAGCUGGUCUUCACCUCCGGGCAGAUCCCGCUUGAUCCUGCCACCAUGGAGAUUGUGGCUGGCGGCGUCGAAGCGCAGGCCGAGCAGGUGAUGAAGAACCUGGUUGCAGUAUUGAAGGCGGCGGGUGCCGACACCAGCAAGGUGCUGAAGACCACCUGUUUCCUCAGCGACAUGAACAACUUCGUUGCCUUUAACCAGGUUUAUGCACGCUACUUUGGUGACUCGGCGCCGGCCCGCUCUUGUGUGGAAGUGGCCCGUCUGCCCAAAGACGUGCUGGUUGAAGUCGAAGCCAUCGCUUACGUCUGAUCCACGGCUGAAUGAAGAGCCCCUCCCAGGAGGGGCUUUUUUGUCUUUGGCGUAGAAUGGACAGAGACCUGCACAGGAGUCCGGAUAUGAGUCUGAGUUUCGCCCUGCUGGUGACGGGGCCUGCCUAUGGCACCCAGUCGGCCAGCACCGCCUACCGUUUUGCCUUGAGCCUCAUCGAACAAGGGCAUCGGCUAUCACACCUGUUCUUCUAUCAGGAUGGGGUCUGCAAUGGCAACGAACUGCACGCCCCCGCCUCCGAUGAGAGCAACCUGGUGGCGCUGUGGCGUGAGUUGGCCAUAGGGCAGGGGAUACGUAUCGAUGUGUGCGUUGCCGCCGCCAUGCGACGUGGUGUGCUUGAUGAGACUGAGCGAAAGGGGCAAGCAAGGUGCAGUUCAACCUGCAGCACCAUUUUGCUUGAGUGCGCUGGGUCAACUGGCAAAACCAACUCUGAACCCCCGAUCCUUUUGUCCGGUUCUUUGCAGGUGAGAAGAAAAAAAAAAAAUUUCCUCUCUGGGAGAGGGGCCCUCU
rnacentral:rRNA from 1 species